AGCGGGCAGUGCUUGGUGGCAUGGAACUCAAUUUGCCGCCCAUACUAUUACGGUGGCUUGGGUAUGAAGAAUCUGAAGUUGCAUGUGCUUGCACUACGGACCAGAUGGGAAUGGCUGAGGAGAACUAAUGAUGAGUGACCAUGGCAAGGGCUGAACCUCAUUCUUGAAAACGACGUACGAGAGGUUUUCAUCAGUUUCGUGUCCAUUUCGGUGGGUGAUGGGAAGAAGGUACUGUUCUGGCGUGAUAGAUGGAUAAAUGGGUGCAUUGCUGUAGAGAUCGCCCCUGCCAUCGCGUGCAAGGUGCCAACACGCACACAAAACCUCAGAUCGGUGCACCAGGCGCUCGGCAACAGGAGAUGGGAGCAAGACAUAUUGGAGGAUCUGAGUUUCACCAUGCAGAUGCAGCUUUACAUGCUGCAACAAGCGAUUAGCCAGGUUGACAGAGAUGAGGAGAGGCAGGACACCUUCGUCUGGCCAUGCGACAAAUUAAGAUCCUAUUCGGCCAAGUCCACCUACGACAGGCUGUGCGUGGGGUUGACAAGGUUUUAG
rnacentral:rRNA from 1 species